rnacentral:misc_RNA from 1 species
UCUAGAACUGGUUGGCAAUCAAUGUCUCGCAACUGGGGCCAAAAUUGGCAAAGCAACUCUUACCUUAAUGGUCAAGCACUCUCUUUUAAGGUCACAACAAGUGAUGGGCACUCUGUCAUCUCCAACAAUGUUGCUCCUCCCAACUGGGCUUUUGGCCAAACCUUCACUGGUAGACAGUUUUAGGUUUUUAUAGCCAGGGCCAAAACUAACCAAAAUCACUUAGAAAAAGACUUUGAAACCCC